rnacentral:rRNA from 1 species
ACUCCUACGGGAGGCAGCAGUGGGGAAUAUUGCACAAUGGGCGCAAGCCUGAUGCAGCCAUGCCGCGUGUGUGAAGAAGGCCUUCGGGUUGUAAAGCACUUUCAGUCGUGAGGAAGGUAGUGUAGUUAAUAGCUGCAUUAUUUGACGUUAGCGACAGAAGAAGCACCGGCUAACUCCGUGCCAGCAGCCGCGGUAAUACGGAGGGUGCGAGCGUUAAUCGGAAUUACUGGGCGUAAAGCGCAUGCAGGUGGUUUGUUAAGUCAGAUGUGAAAGCCCGGGGCUCAACCUCGGAAUAGCAUUUGAAACUGGCAGACUAGAGUACUGUAGAGGGGGUAGAAUUUCAGGUGUAGCGGUGAAAUGCGUAGAGAUCUGAAGGAAUACCGGUGGCGAAGGCGGCCCCUGGACAGAUACUGACACUCAGAUGCGAAAGCGUGGGAGCAAACAGGAUUAGAUACCCCGU